GGAUGCAUCUCCCAUGAAUGAACAUGAUAUGAUUAGCUUCAAUAUCCAAAAAGAUCCCUCCAUUGUCAGGCAAGGCGAGUUAUGACGAUAAUGUGAGAUGGAAUUGAAAGUGAGCAGACAUACAGUGUGGUACUCUAGCCAUAAAGUUUGAUGGAAAAUUAAGGGUAAAUGGCAGUGAGGGCGGAUCAAGGCUUCUUACUGGCCGUGACAUAAUGAGCUUAUGGGAUCCCCUUUGCAAGGUGCUACAC